rnacentral:rRNA from 1 species
AUUGAACGCUGGCGGCAGGCCUAACACAUGCAAGUCGAGCGGCAGCGGGAAGUAGCUUGCUACUUUGCCGGCGAGCGGCGGACGGGUGAGUAAUGUCUGGGAAACUGCCUGAUGGAGGGGGAUAACUACUGGAAACGGUAGCUAAUACCGCAUAACGUCGCAAGACCAAAGAGGGGGACCUUCGGGCCUCUUGCCAUCAGAUGUGCCCAGAUGGGAUUAGCUAGUAGGUGGGGUAAUGGCUCACCUAGGGGACGAUCCCUAGCUGGUCUGAGAGGAUGACCAGCCACCCUGGAACUGAGACACGGUCCAGACUCCUACGGGAGGCAGCAGUGGGGAAUAUUGCACAAUGGGCGCAAGCCUGAUGCAGCCAUGCCGCGUGUAUGAAGAAGGCCUUCGGGUUGUAAAGUACUUUCAGCGGGGAGGAAGGUGCUGAGGUUAAUAACCUUGCCGAUUGACGUUACCCGCAGAAGAAGCACCGGCUAACUCCGUGCCAGCCGCCGCGGUAA